AGUGAACGCUGGCGGUAGGCCUAACACAUGCAAGUCGAACGGCAGCACAGUAAGAGCUUGCUCUUACGGGUGGCGAGUGGCGGACGGGUGAGGAAUACAUCGGAAUCUACUUUUUCGUGGGGGAUAACGUAGGGAAACUUACGCUAAUACCGCAUACGACCUACGGGUGAAAGCAGGGGAUCUUCGGACCUUGCGCGAUUGAAUGAGCCGAUGUCGGAUUAGCUAGUUGGCGGGGUAAAGGCCCACCAAGGCGACGAUCCGUAGCUGGUCUGAGAGGAUGAUCAGCCACACUGGAACUGAGACACGGUCCAGACUCCUACGGGAGGCGGCAGUGGGGAAUAUUGGACAAUGGGCGCAAGCCUGAUCCAGCCAUACCGCGUGGGUGAAGAAGGCCUUCGGGUUGUAAAGCCCUUUUGUUGGGAUAGAAAAGCAGCAGGUUAAUACCCCGCUGUUCUGACGUUACCCAAAGAAUAAGCACCGGCUAACUUCGUG
rnacentral:rRNA from 1 species